rnacentral:misc_RNA from 1 species
GAUGAAGAACGCAGCGAAACGCGAUAUGUAAUGUGAAUUGCAGAAUUCAGUGAAUCAUCGAAUCUUUGAACGCACAUGGCGCCUUCCAGUAUCCUGGGAGGCAUGUCUGUCCGAGCGUCGUUUCAACCCUCGAGCCCCCGUGGCCCGGCGUUGGGGAUCUGCCACGGCAGGCCCCUAAAACCAGUGGCGGACCCGAAGGCCCUCUCCUUUGCGCAGUAGCAUCAGCCUCGCAUUGGGAUCCCUCGGCGUCCUGCCUCUAAACCCCCCACAAGUCCGCUCCGGCGGCACCAAGGUUGACCUCGGAUCAGGUAGGAAUACCCGCUGAACUUAAGCAUAUCAAUAAGCGGAGGA